GGAAGUAGCGUAGCGGGAGGGCGGAAGUGAGGGCGGCGGCCGGCAUGGCCAAGCAGUACGACAUGGUGGAGUGCCCGUUCUGCGAUGAGGUCUCCAAGUACGAGAAGCUCGCCAAAAUCGGGCAGGGAACCUUCGGGGAAGUGUUCAAAGCCAAGCACCGACAGACGGGCAAAAAGGUGGCGCUGAAGAAGGUGUUGAUGGAAAAUGAGAAGGAGGGGUUCCCCAUCACAGCUCUGCGAGAGAUUAAAAUCCUCCAGCUGCUCAAGCAUGAGAAUGUGGUGAACCUCAUAGAAAUCUGUAGGACCAAAGCCUCUCCAUACAACCGCUGCAAGGGAAGUAUCUACCUGGUGUUUGACUUCUGUGAGCACGACCUGGCUGGCCUUCUCAGCAACACCCACGUCAAGUUCACGCUCUCAGAGAUCAAGAAAGUUAUGCAGAUGCUAUUGAAUGGACUUUAUUACAUCCACAGGAACAAGAUCUUGCAUCGAGACAUGAAAGCUGCAAACGUUCUGAUCACGCGGGAUGGAGUCCUGAAGCUCGCAGACUUUGGGCUGGCUCGAGCUUUCAGCCUGGCUAAGAACAGCCAGCCAAAUCGCUACACCAACCGUGUUGUGACUCUGUGGUAUCGGCCACCAGAGCUGCUGCUAGGGGAGCGGGACUACGGGCCCCCCAUUGACCUGUGGGGUGGAGGCUGCAUCAUGGCAGAGAUGUGGACCCGCAGCCCCAUCAUGCAGGGGAACACGGAGCAGCACCAGCUCACCCUCAUUAGCCAGCUCUGCGGAUCCAUCACGCCAGAGGUCUGGCCGAAUGUGGAUAAGUAUGAGCUGUACCAGAAGCUGGAGCUCCCCAAGGGUCAGAAGCGCAAGGUGAAGGAUCGCCUGAAGGCCUACGUCAAGGACCCCUAUGCACUCGACCUCAUCGACAAGCUGCUGGUGCUGGACCCGGCCCAACGCAUCGACAGCGAUGAUGCGCUGAACCACGACUUCUUCUGGUCAGACCCCAUGCCCUCGGACCUCAAAAACAUGCUGUCCACCCACAACCAGUCCAUGUUCGAGUACCUGGCCCCGCCACGCAGGAGGGGUGGGCACAUGCCCCAGCAGCCAGCAAACCAGGGCAGGAACCCUGCGGCUACCAACCAGACUGAGUUUGACAGGGUGUUUUGAGCAGGGUCCUGGCUGGGCUGCUCUGCGGGAUGUGUUGAGCAGGGGUGUCUCAGCAUGGUCUCUCUCUCUGAUCAGGGACUUCCUUCAAGGCCAAGUGCCUGGUGGCUUUACCUGAGCUCUGCCCUCCCCUCUCCUUGUGCAGCAGCUCUGCCACCAAGGAGCUGCAGCAGGCAGCUGUGUGGUUGUGUGUGUGUGAGUGUGAGUGGGGAAGUGAUGCCUAUGAGCCUGCAGCUGUUUCCCUGUGGCUUUGGCACAGCCCGUGUCCCCACAGAGCAGUCCAUAUUGAUUAUGUUAAUCUUGUGAUUCGAUUGCUAUGGAUCUGAUGAUGGAGAAACUGGCUCCGUUAGCGUUGGGGCUUGCUGCGGGGAGCCCUGCUGGGAGCUGUCUGCAGCUCUCAUUUGGUGUUAGCUCCUGUACUGCAUGUCCUCUGAACGCCCAAGUGUUGGUGUAGGAUGCUGCAGAUGCUUCUGAGUAAUGUGGGGAAAGCAGAGUGGCUCCAGGCUUAAUGACCAACUCUUGCUCCAGCGUUGAAGGAGGCUUACUGGGCCGGCCACGCUGAUGGAACUGGUUGCUCCAUACAGCCAGGAUUUACAGUAGGAAUUAGCACUCAGUGUGCUUUCCUGGCUCUGGACUGCAAUUAAGUUCUUUGUGGGACACACCCAGACAGCUGCGUGCUUUCUCCCCGUAGUGCUAAUGAUGGAGCUGGAGUUGCUGUACUCAGGCUGUGCUCUGGCUUUCGCUUGGAAGCAGCCCCCUGUCCUUGUUUCACCAUGUUUCACAGCAUGGUUGUACUGGAGCUGCAAGGGCCGCUCUGCUUACAAACACUCCCGUGUGCACUCCUCUGUCCUGGAGCCAUUUGUGUGCAGUCUGGAGCAGGGCUGCUGCCUUCCCCACACCGGGCACUGCCGGAGCACUGGUGCAGAGCAAGAGUUCCUUCCCACCUUGUCUUCCAUGACUGACCUCCAGCUGGAGCUGGCUGCCUUUUCCCAAGCCACACGAAUCCCCAGACUUUCCAAUGAGCAACGUGUACAAAAUGCAGGGGGUUAUAACCUUUGCCAUUUGAUAAGUUGUCCGUUAACCAGGAGGAGCAGAGCAGCUCUGGGCGCACAGCAGUGGGCAUUGGACUGGUGUGAGAGCAGUGGGUGAGGAUGAUAAAGGACACCUAUAAGGAUGCCAUCCGCACGCUGAACACGCUGCAGACAAACGCCAGUUACCUGGAGCAGGUGAAGCGGGAACGCGGGGACCCCCGGGCCCAGCUGGAGGCCAUGCGGGGUUUUUUGGAGAGGAGCGGGCUGCAGGUCGAGGACCUGGAUCGUCUGAACAUCAUCCACGUCACGGGGACGAAGGGCAAGGGCUCAGCCUGUGCCUUCACCGAGCGCAUCCUGCGUGGCUAUGGGCUGCGGACUGGCUUCUACAGGUGGGCAGUGGGC